GCAACUAGCUCAGUGGAUAGAGCAAAGGACUGUUACUCCUUUGGUCGCGGGUUCAACUCCUGCGUUGCA
rnacentral:tRNA from 1 species